ensembl:lncRNA
ACUUGCUGAUGGCCUGCUGCGUCUUGACACACGAGGGGAGCCGGAACUUGAUCUGGAAGACGACGUUAGAGAGACAUGGCCAGUGUUCAGUACCCACAGCACUCUGCUGUCCUGGAGUGAAUAGCCAAUGCAACCGUGGUGGGUGUUUUUGUGAUGAGUUCUGCGUCACAAGCGGGGACUGCUGUGCUGACUACAAUCAGAUAUGCAUUCAGCCCUCACCACCAUCUUCAUCCUCCCUACCUACAACCAACCAAUCACCAACAUCAUCACCAAUCUCACCACCAACUUCAUCCUCCUCACCUACAACCAACCAAUCACCAACAUCAUCACCAACCUCACAAACAUCUUCAUCAGUCUCACCAACAACCAACCAAUCAUCAUCACCACCACCAACCUCUGCAUCUUCAUCAACAUCCCAGCAGAGAAAAAACAUCAGUGCAAUCACAGUCUUCCACAUGCGUGUUCGCUCAGGAGCCAAUGAGGAAGCAAUGCUGAAGGCUGUGCAGGAUUUCAUUCUCCACCUCCAGGGCUUGAUGAGGAGACAGCAGUGUGAAGACUGCAGUCUACGAGUGCUAAACAUCAGCAAGAAACAUCGCUGAUUACAUCAAGUCAAAUAUAUUAGAAUUAUUGAGAAUCCACAGUUUUUCACUAAUUAAUCAUUAUUACCUGGUCUUCUUCCACGUGUUUGUUUAAUACUCCUGGUGUGGAAAUGGUGUCACUAGAUGGCACUAGAGGACCGAACCUGUAAUGGAAAUCAUAGAGGAUUGUCCAAUCACUGUCUAACCUUAAUUUUAAUUUUA